GGAAAGUUACAAACUAUAUAUAGAGCAUAAACAACCCUAGUAAACAUAAUAGGCGUUUAAGAAAAAAAGGAAAAAAAACCACAGCCAAAACGUUGCCGUUUUAUGUUUCUUCAUCAAAUUCCACAACCCUCGCUCCACUUUCACUCUCUCAGUUUUACUUUUAACCUUCAGAGAGACGAUUCUGAAAUAUAUAUAUUUUUUUACUUUUACCAUAAAGAGUAAUUAAUUCGUGAAGGAGAUUUUUACUUUGCGGACCCCACGCUCGGAUUCACCAAUCAUACUGUAGUUGACACGUACUGCAUAAAAUCUGUGUCCCGCUCCAGUCCCGCCAUUGUUUCCGGGGACAGAACAACUUCCAGAUCCACGCUGCCGUUUCCUUCUCGGCCGGGGAAGGCGGAGAUCUUACCGUCGAAUUUGUUCGCUCUGCCACUCCUGACAGCGAUCGGGCGGCCCCACCCGAAAUCGUUGUCGUACAUCGGAAAUCUCGGCGAGCUGCCCAUGGUGAUGGACGCGCCGUCGAAGUUCCCUAACGGAAACAGCCGCGGUUGGCUCUCCCAGUCUGCGAUUCCACGACGGACGGUCGCGUCGUCGUGCGCCACCACGUUUUUAUGAAGCAGAUCGGCACACCACCGGAGAUCGUUCGACAGAACCUCUCCGACCGGCGCCACCGUUGGAAUGCUCUGUAUCGCGUUCCCGAAGUAGUAGGGUUCCAUCCGUGGGUUCAGACGGUGACGGCAGUUAACUGCCAUUCGAAACGUCGUCGUUUUAGCCGCGUCUAACUUCCUCGCACGUGUCACCGAGCGCCACAGAUGCGCACAUAACGAUUGGAAAGACGAAAUCUCCGCCGUACGAUUUGGAACGUUCGUUUUAAUUAAAUUCUCCAAAACGGCAGUUAUGCUCCCUCCGUUAUUAGUUCCGUUAUUCCCCAAAACGGCGGUUUUCCAACUGUCAUUCCCCUGUUUCCCCAAAAUCUCGACGGCGUCAUGAAAUCCGUUGACAGGUUUCCGGCCAGCGAUUUGGUUGUUUGUGUUAGCUCUCAGCUUCAGCUUCAGAAUGGAUUCAAGUGUAAAAUGAAAAAUCCUCUCUCUCAGCGGCUCGUCGCUGUUGAACGUCACCACCGGCCCGCCCUCGGGAAAUUUCAGCACCGCCGACGAGUUGAAAACAGUGUCUCUACCAAACGCCGGCGACUUGGAGAUCUUUUUAGUCCCUUUGCAAAUUUCAGCAAAUGUGUUGAAGAAGUGCCAGAAAGAAGUCCCGUCGGUGACGGCGUGGUUGACGGUACAUCCAACAAACACCCCAUCCGCCAGCUCUGUCACCUGUACAGCAACUAAGGGCAAAGAAUGACCGGAGUAGCUAAUAGUGCGAUCAAAGUAAAAAAACUCCUUGAAGUAAUUAGGGACAUCAAGAGGGGAAAGAAGGGCAUUGAGAGUGAGAUGUUUAGCCUUAGCUUCGAUGAAUUCGACACCGGCAUCAUUGCAAAGGAUGUGAACGUAACCGUCAGCGUCGGUAGAGAGGCGGCCGGCGAGAGGAGAGAAAUGGGAGAGAGUGGUGGAGAGGGAGUGUUUGAGAAAGUUGACAAAAUCAAGGAAGGAAUAAGGAGGGGAAGGAAAAAG
rnacentral:misc_RNA from 1 species